CGCGAAGAACCUUACCAGGUCUUGACAUCCUUUGACCACUCGAGAGAUCGAGCUUUCCCUUCGGGGACAAAGUGACAGGUGGUGCAUGGUUGUCGUCAGCUCGUGUCGUGAGAUGUUGGGUUAAGUCCCGCAACGAGCGCAACCCUUAUUACUAGUUGCCAGCAUUCAGUUGGGCACUCUAGUGAGACUGCCGGUGACAAACCGGAGGAAGGUGGGGAUGACGUCAAAUCAUCAUGCCCCUUAUGACCUGGGCUACACACGUGCUACAAUGGAUGGUACAACGAGUUGCGAAGUCGUGAGGCCAAGCUAAUCUCUUAAAGCCAUUCUCAGUUCGGAUUGUAGGCUGCAACUCGCCUACAUGAAGCCGGAAUCGCUAGUAAUCGCGGAUCAGAACGCCGCGGUGAAUACGUUCCCGGGUCUUGUACACACCG
rnacentral:rRNA from 1 species